GACGAACGCUGGCGGCGUGCUUAACACAUGCAAGUCGAACGGUGAAGGGAUCAGCUUGCUGGUUCUGGAUGAGUGGCGAACGGGUGAGUAACACGUGAGUAACCUGCCCCCUUCUUCUGGAUAACCGCAUGAAAGUGUGGCUAAUACGGGAUAUUCUGCGCCUGCUGCAUGGUGGGUGUGGGAAAGAUAUUGUUUCGGUGGGGGAUGGGCUCGCGGCCUAUCAGCUUGUUGGUGGGGUGAUGGCCUACCAAGGCGGUGACGGGUAGCCGGCCUGAGAGGGUGGACGGUCACACUGGGACUGAGACACGGCCCAGACUCCUACGGGAGGCAGCAGUGGGGAAUAUUGCACAAUGGGCGCAAGCCUGAUGCAGCGACGCCGCGUGAGGGAUGGAGGCCUUCGGGUUGUGAACCCCUUUCGCCAGUGAAGCAGGCCUGUCCCUUGUGGGUGGGUUGACGGUAGCUGGAUAAGAAGCGCCGGCUAACUACGUG
rnacentral:rRNA from 1 species